GACAGAGGUGCCAAGCGUUAGGCGGAAUCACUGGGCUUAAAGCGUGUGUAGGCGGAAUGGUAAGUACCUUGUGAAAUCCCACGGCUCAACCGUGGAACUGCUUGAUACUGCUUUCUUUGUGCCACUUAGGGGCUGUCGGAACAAACGGUGGAGCGGUGAAAUGCGUAGAUAUCGUUUGGAACGCCAAAGGUGAAAACAGACAGCUGGGAGUGUGCUGACGCUGAGACACGAAAGCCAGGGGAGCGAACGGG
rnacentral:rRNA from 1 species